AGUUUUUGUAUAUUUUUGAAAGAAAGUUAGCAUACCUUUUUAUCCUCAUAGGUUCUCUCAGAUCACUCAUUAUCUUUUAUAUAUAUAUAUCUCACUGAGGUUGUUUUAAUUUGCAAAAAUUCUCAAGCAUACUUACUUUGCAUUUAUUGCCUGAUCAAAACGGGAUCCGAGGAGGGGAAUGUCAUACUCUUAGAUCAGAGACUUUGGAAAUUAAAAUCUUUGUCAACUCUUGCUGGCAUAUUGCUUAUUAGAGGGACCAUGGGCUAUCAUUUUUUUCUCUCUCUCUUUUUUUUAAGUGGAUACCGAGGUACCCCUAAUUCUACUGCCGGACACUUGUCCAUUUUUUUCUGCGAGGUUGUCGAGCACUUGCUCCUUUUUAUUUCCUCGAAAUAUCUCUAUUUUUGCAUAGCCCAUGCCUCUAAUGCAAUAAUACUUCGGAAGAGUGAAUCUUUCUGAAUAAAUGUCUUGAUCUUAGGAGCAUG
rnacentral:lncRNA from 1 species